rnacentral:misc_RNA from 1 species
CUGAUUUAUUCAAAUUUUAACUCAGAGACCGUUUAAUAACAGAGUUUGUUUAACUCGCGCACUCGCUGACAAUCCCAGCGCUGAACCAGCUUCCCCCACAGCAAACAAGUAGUUUUAACAACAAAGGGUGGAGUCGCGCUGAGCACCCCUACUUCCUUUAAGAAGCUUUUCUUUGGGGAUGCGGAAGGAUCAUUAAAGAGUAAGGGUGCUCAGCGCCCGACCUCCAACCCUUUGUUGUUAAAACUACCUUGUUGCUUUGGCGGGACCGCUCGGUUCCGAGCCGCUGGGGAUUCGUCCCAGGCGAGUGCCCGCCAGAGUUAAACCAAACUCUUGUUAUUAAACCGGUCGUCUGAGUUAAAAUUUUGAAUAAAUCAAAACUUUCAACAACGGAUCUCUUGGUUCUCGCAUCGAUGAAGAACGCAGCGAAAUGCGAUAAGUAAUGUGAAUUGCAGAAUUCAGUGAAUCAUCGAAUCUUUGAACGCACAUUGCGCCCCUUGGUAUUCCGAGGGGCAUGCCUGUUCGAGCGUCAUUACACCACUCAAGCUAUGCUUGGUAUUGGGUGCCGUCCUUAGUUGGGCGCGCCUUAAAGACCUCGGCGAGGCCACUCCGGCUUUAGGCGUAGUAGAAUUUAUUCGAACGUCUGUCAAAGGAGAGGAACUCUGCCGAUUGAAACCUUUAUUUUUCUAGGUUGACCUCGGAUCAGGUAGGGAUACCCGCUGAACUUAA